UCCAGAUUCCCAGAAACAGAGUCACCUCACACUGCAACCUUCCACCAGAAGCAUCUGAGCCCAUCCGUGAUUAAUCCCCUGGCUGGAGAUUUGGCUGCAUCAUGGACCCCAGCACCGAUCUACUGCUUCCCCAUCACCAUGGAGGCUUCUCUUGUCAUCUACAUCCUCGCUGCUCUCCUGGCUAUGGGGGCCUGUGUGAGGUUUGCGAUGGACCAGGAACCAGCUGCACGGGCGACCUAGAGACCUGCAGUGCUGGGGAAGACACUUGUGGCUUUGUUCUAAUCGAAUUCACCUUGGGUUGGUGAGAUGGACUCUAACCAACAUGGGUCAGCAAACAGGCUGGGGAGCCAGGACGCCUGGGUCCUAUCAGGCAGUGGGGUGGAUUUGUCUCAACAGGGGUUGACUGGGAGCCAGGACACCUGGGUUCUAUACCAAACCAUGUAGCUACCUUCCCGAAGGCUCAGCAUUGCGAUGCCGAACUCCCAGUGGUCUUCACAGACCAUGGGUCAGGCGCCCGGUUCCCGUAUGGUGCAUGAGGAGACCGAGGUGCCUGAGGAUGGGAUCCACAAAAGCCAAUACAACAAACAGGAGCUGCCUAAGUCAGCCAA